rnacentral:rRNA from 1 species
CCUACGGGUGGCAGCAGUGAGGAAUAUUGGUCAAUGGGCGGGAGCCUGAACCAGCCAAGUCGCGUGAGGGAAGACGGUCCUAUGGAUUGUAAACCUCUUUAGGCGGGGAGCAAUGCCGGGCACGUGUGCCCGGAGGGAGAGUACCCGCAGAAUAAGCAUCGGCUAACUCCGUGCCAGCAGCCGCGGUAACACGGGGGAUGCGAGCUUUAUCCGGAGUUAUCGGGUUUAAAGGGUGCGUAGGCGGAUUUUUAUGUCAGCGGUAAAAGGUCCGGGCUCAACCCGGGGCGGCCGUUGAAACUGGGGAUCUUGAGUGGGCGAGAAGUAUGCGGAAUGCGUGGUGUAGCGGUGAAAUGCAGAGAUAUCACGCAGAACGCCGAUUGCGAAGGCAGCAUACCGGCGCCCAACUGACGCUGAGGCACGAAAGCGUGGGGAGCGAACAGGAUUAGAUACCCGAGUAGUC